AUUCAGCUGACCAGUUCCAAAUAAAACGAAGCGUAUUUCCUGAAU
rfam:Schistosoma mattheei strain Denwood, Zambia genome assembly, scaffold: SMTD_scaffold0003520